GCGAGACUCCCCUGAAGGUGGGUUCACCAUCUUCGCAGCGGGGUGUGAAAGCCAGUUCAGCUCCUGAACCCCACAAUUGUUCAACAGCCUUUCGGAGCCUGAUCGGUUUCCGAAGACAGAAUCUGGACGACUAGGACAUUUUCUUUCGAGACUCCUCCAGCAGAGGUGAAGUCAGACAUUAACAGUGACAUCUUAUCAGGUCAAUGUUUGCAGUACACCAGAAGCGACGGGUCCAAAAAGAUCGGCAACAUCAUUUACAAAGUUCUAGCCAAGCCUUCCAUGUACUUCAUCAAGUUUGAUGUUGAUGUCCACAUCUACAUUUAUAAUCUGGUAGAAAAGAUCUGUUAAGGUGAAAUUCACAAAGUGAGGGUGGACGUAGAUGGGUAAUUUAUAGGAUUGGGGGGAAAAUGUUUGUUUUUCUGUGUCAGAUACACAAGGGCCUUUGACAACUCCAGUAUCUUUUCCAGUGGAAUUUGUUUUUGCUCUAAAAAAUAAAAUGUGCGAU
rnacentral:lncRNA from 1 species